rnacentral:siRNA from 1 species
AAUUCGAUCUCGAUUAUCUCAGGA